rfam:Acyrthosiphon pisum strain LSR1 Contig1020549, whole genome shotgun sequence.
AAAACGGCCCUUCUCAGGGCCACCCCGAAAAAAAAACGAAAAAAUA